AUGAAAUAUAGAGAAGGUAGCAAGAGAUAUACUCCACAAUCCUGUUUAGCAAUUUGUGCAUUAAAUCAUGGGAGGACUUUUGUGGAACAAAUAUAUACGGGUACGUUAACAGUAAUUGUGAUUGUCACCGCAUUAAAAAAACCAAGGCUUGAUGCUACAAAGAAAUUAAUUUUUUCAACACAGUAA